UCUUCACUGUGCCUCUGCUCCAUGGCCGUGCUAAGCCUUCUCUGCUCCGUUCCUACCAAGACCAUGAAAUCCUGCUGAUGUGCAGUGACAGCUCUCACUUCUGCCCUGGAUGGGAGCAGGUCCAGCUUGCCGUUGUUCUAACCCAACCCUUCAGCCUGAGCCUUGAAGGCCACUUUAUACUUUUCAUCAAGACCCCUUGCUAAAGAUCUGCUCAUCAUGUUGCCCGUGCCCUGCUACUCCUCUGCCCCAGCUCUCCAGACUCCCCUGCCUCCUUUUAGAUCAUCACCAUCCCCGUCGUCUCAGGAGCAGUCAGUGCCUCUCACAGUACUCUCCCAGAUAUGUCUGAACAAGCCAGAGCAGAAGCCCAAAGCCCCCACUGAGUGGUGUGUCCCAACCCUGCCCUCAGAGGAGCUUUCCAGACUACUGAUCCUCACUCUUCUCUCUGUCGUUCCCAUGUCAGCUAGAUCAGCCCUGCUUUACCUCCAAGAGCAAUCUUGCUUCUUGCUGAAGGACAUCCCCAUGGCUUGCAAUGACUUAACAUCACUGCAUGGGGCUUCACACCAUCGCACCACCACAUCCAGCCAGCUCUGGGGCUUCCCCGGUCCUUCCACUGUCUGGAAAGACAGAGGUGUGAGGCGUGUUUGAGUGCCCCUGCUCUGCAGGGGCACGCAGCACCCACGCCACCUGGUCCCCAGUGUAUCGAGGGGCUGGGAUCACAACUAGCUGUUUGCAGAUGUUGGCUUCCCAAUAGCAUGUUCCAUGCUGGCAGUGCAACUGCCGGCAACACCAGGAAUGAACCUCUGCAUUUCCAGGAUAAGCCUCCUCCCUGGUUCUCCCAAUGAAGGGGAUCGUAUUAGAUCUGGAGCCUGGGACAACCUCUGACACGCAAGGUUGUGUUUUCACGGCUCUCUUACAGAUCUGUUUUCUCAGACAGAAAGUCUCUGCUUUCUGUCACAAAGCAAUAGGUUUUUCUAGAGGGAUUUAGAAGGGACUAUUCCCAACUCUGAUACCUGCAGGCAAGCCAAUGUUCCCUUGAAUACCUUCAUAGCUCCAGCCCUGGGCUCUCCUCCUUUGGAAAGGGAUGCGAGGUCCAGUCUGGCUCCAAAUAAUCACCAAUGGUUUGAGCUUGGCGGUCCCCAUUUGUCCGGAGAGCCCGAAGCUGCCCAUACCCAGCAGGCCACCAGUCUGGGUCCCCAGGAGGUGUGGUCCAUCCCCCUCCGGUGCCCAUUCCAUGACUGCUACUGGGUCCCCGCAGCAGGUCUUCUCCAUCAGCUCACUCACAUGGGAGCCGCUGGGUCCCCUGGGGCAUCUGAGCUCAGAGAGUCACGUUCGGUGACAGCCAGACACCAGUGGGAGAUCAUGGCGCUGGCUCUGCCGUUCCUGAGAGCCAGGCUGUCCUAGGAGCCCUCUCGGAGGAGAAGGUCCCCUUUGCCCCACGGGCGGCACGUGGGUUCCCUUCCAGUGGCCGAAGGGAGCAAAACGUGCGCGGGUAGAGCUCCGCCACCGGUGCGAAACUGCUCCAUCACCGGUGCAAAAAAAAAAAAUGCUGCACAACCGGCCAAUGUGUCUAUGCAGUCCCUUUCCACGCAGCGGCGUCCCCGCAGAGCCCGGCCCAGGGCUGGAGCUCCUCCAAGGCGUCUUCGUUUGCACUCACUCGGACCUGGUAAACGCUGUGAGCCGAGAGGAACCCCUCUUGGUCUUUGCCUUGCACCGGGCAGUACGCUUGUGAGGGUUUCCUCAUCCUAAAUCGAUGCACGUUGCUUAGUUGCCUGUCUUCUGUGUCUGUUCUUCAGCAGAUCAAUAGGUGUCCCCCCCAAAACCCAGCUCCCCGAUGGGAGAACGUCAGGUUGGGCCAGCCGGCGCCCCCGCGCAAGCCUGCUGUCUGAUUUCACCAGCAAUAAAAGCCCCGCGGAGGAGCAGCCAGAGCUCUCUGCUGCCGCUCCACCGCCGGGUGAGCUGCAGGCUGUGUCUGUGUGUAGGACCUCUGCUUUAGACCCUUCGUCCAACGUUUUGGACCUUCCCGACUGUAAAUUCAAUCCCAGCCUUGUGCUUUCUUUCCUCUCGUCCGUUUCUUGACACCUUGGUCUCUCUCUGCUCUUACUGUGAAUUCAAACCAGAAGUGUUCUGAACUCGACUCUGUUACUGUUUCGUUUCUGCGUUGACUGUUGCUGGUUCUCCGAACUGCGUUUAACGAGACUUUGCAAUACAAAAUAGAAUAUUUAAAAAAGAACUCCAUAAAGUUGAGUGUCUCUCCUGUCCACUGGUCACUUCCAAACACCGUUGUCUUGACUUUGCCUCUGGUCAGUGUAUUUAAAGACAAGAGGUGGAAAAAGAAAGAGAUCAAACGCAGCAUUCUGGGGUUUUUGUACAGCAAAGGUGUAUCCGUUUCGGAAAUUCUCGUUAAAACUGUACCGCACUUCCCAAUCUACUGCUAGUCUGUUGUAUGUUUCCAUUGGGUUGUCAAGAUGUGAAGAACUACUGCCUUUGCGAUUUUCUACAGUGAAUAUAUAUAUAUAUCUGUACAGAGAUAUGUAUAUAUAUAAAUAUAUAUGAAGAUCUAUAUGUAUACGUAUCUCUCACUGUCCUAUCUCUACCUAACUGUGAAGGAUUUUUAUUGGGCAAAAUAAAAUGGAGAAAGGCCCCGUUU